GUCGAGAAUAAUUCACAAUGGACGAAAGUCUGAUGGUGCAACGCCGCGUGGAGGAUGAAGGUCUUCGGAUUGUAAACUCCUGUCAUCGGGGAGUAAGACCUGGCGGUAAAUAGCCGACAGGGUUGAUAGUACCCGAAGAGGAAGGGACGGCUAACUUCGUGCCAGCAGCCGCGGUAAUACGAAGGUCCCAAGCGUUGUUCGGAAUCACUGGGCGUAAAGGGAGCGUAGGCGGCGUGGUAAGGCAGAUGUGAAAUCCCGGGGCUCAACCCCGGAACUGCAUCCGAUACUGCCAUGCUUGAGGGUUGGAGAGGUAGCUGGAAUUCUCGGUGUAGCAGUGAAAUGCGUGGAUAUCGAGAGGAACACUCGUGGCGAAGGCGAGCUACUGGACAACAUCUGACGCUGAGGCUCGAAGGCCAGGGGAGCAAAAGGGAUUAGAAACCCCGGUAGUCC
rnacentral:rRNA from 1 species